AUGUAUAUUUCUGUCCAAAGUGUGCUCAGAAUUAUAAUUUUUUUAACCCCUUUGGUAGUGGGAAACCCUGCCCAACCUCCGUUUCUGAUCAAAUGUGUCUGCUCUUCUAGAGCUCUCCCAUUUGACAUCCGUCAUCAGGGCCAACAUCCUUCCCAGACAUUAGUAAUAUCUAAUGUCCCCCUCCCCCCCCCCCCCCCCCCCCGCCUUUUCCCCACUGUCAUGUUCACAUUGUGCCAUGUAGGCUACGACAGCCUCUCACACGAGUCUGAUCCGGACCUGAACAGUAUUCCCUGGACACUGGCUACGGUGAGCUCGCCCUCCUCGUCCUCAGUCGACGACCCCGCCAUCUUUGCUCAAGCACAGAUGGCGGUGGUCCGACGGGAAGAAUGAAACCCAGGCUGAGUGGAAGAAGUUCUGGUGAAAAGGUGGGUCACCAUCAGCACCAGACUGGGCCGCCUUAAAUCCACUGGCGGAACAUACCGACCUCCAAAGACCGGUGGGAGUAACUGUACCAGAAUUCAACCAUGAACAUCUGGGGCUCCCUGCAGGAGACCAGCGUUAAUUAACGGCCUCUACACAUCCGCGCUAAGUCUCCCUUUAACCUGUCACACUGAUUGCAAUUGUAAAUAAAAAACGUGAAAAAACUAUCAAAAUAUGUAAGGAAUGUGAAUGUCCACUCUCCUUUAAAAACAAACAAACACUGCCCUAUUAGGCUAUUCGUUUAUCUUCUAAUGGGAAAAAAACAACAACUCCAGUUUCAGAUUAUGAAUCCCUAAGAAUGUAUAAUAACUUAGAAUGGUCCCAACAUCUCCAGUGUGUUUUGUCCUUCCAGAAAUCCACCACUGUCGACCACCAGAAUGAGAUCGGGGAGGGAACUGCGUGCCGGUCUCAGUAUUGCUCUUCAUAUGUAACUCACAUUUAGCUGCUAGCCCGAUUUGGACACACUUUUGUGAGGAGAUGACAUUUGUUACACUUUGCCGACAUUUCUAAACAUUUCCAGUUGCGCAAGUGGAACAGAGUUUGCGCGCAACUAGAACCCCCCAACGAUGUCCAAUAGGAUCCAGCUCGUGAUUGGCUCUGCCCGCCCACUUUCCUACGUUCCUGCCCACUCUGCCUCACUAGCGUCCCACGGGAAAUGACGCUUUGUGGGCAAUCUUGGUUCAUUUGGAAACAUCUUUGGCCGGGCCGACUUGAUAUUGCACUGACUCAGGGCAGAACUAGGCAGUUACACGUUCACUCAUUCAUCAUGAUGCGGUAAUGCAAUGUAUUAUUAGACCACUAGCAAGACCACAAAUUGUGGCCCAUCAGGCUAACCACGACAACGUCUCCCAGGAUUUGUUUUUCAAUGACCAGACUUAGAAAAUGUGUAAGAGCAUUGCAACAAUGGUUGUUUUCUGUGCACAAUACACCCCCCCCCCCCCCCACAACUCAGUUCCUUUUCCCAUAACGAUUUUGCCUUAUGACGAUCAGUAUAAAACAAUGUACUGCAUAUUUAUACAAUUUAAUCAUAUGCACUUGGAAAGCCUAGAUGGAAUUAAGUAGAAAUGGUUUUAGAGGAGUUCCGUCGAGGGAGAAGCAGUAAAGUCACUGUUUCGCGGUACAGCUGGGUCCCUGCAGCCAGGAGUUGAAGUCCAUGAAGCAGAAUUUUGACAAUGCUCUGUGGGCCUAACAUGAGUUGGUCGGCAGCCAUAGUGACUCAGUACACACAGCCGACACCUGUAGAUAGAGGAAAUUAUUAUAGGGAAUGACAUUUAUUCCAACCACAAAAGUGGGGGGUAAUUUCCUUCUCCAGAGAGCGUUGUGAAGGGUUUGAAUUAGAUGUGGGGGGUUGAAGCAAUUGUAACUAAAUACUGACCUCUGGUGGUUUCAAAAUGUUAUGUUAUGCUACACAUCGACUAAAAAUAUAGAUCUGUUGGAGACUUGGGAACCGGCGGUAAAAUUACUUUCAUAUUUUCUUUGAUAGACUACAUUAUACAGCACUUUGUAUGCAAGAGUCUUUUCGGCUUAAGGCAUAAAGUAUUUUCAGUUUUCCAUGGAAACACAACCACCACCUUGUAUUCCUUUGAUGCUCCAGUCCUUUUCUCUCUUUAUACUGCCCACAGUCCCAACCCAAAGUGAACCAGAGAUGUCACUAAGACCUACAUGUGAGUCCUUGAUAUUGUUAUAUUAAGAAAAAAAGCAGCAGAUGAAUUUAAUUCAUAAUGGCUUACACAGAACAAUAAAUUUAAAAAAACAGCAUAAAAAAAACAUUUCAUGUAUUUUUUAAUACAUAAUGUUUGAGCAAAGAAAGUAGCAUGACACACAAUAUGACAAGGAUAUCAUGAAUAUGAGAAAGAAAAGAAAAACGAAGGACUUCGCUAAGUUGCCAUUGUACCAGCAGAUGGCACCAUAUCCCCAAGAAUCACUUGAUUUAAAUUUGAUACCUUCAAUACCAGAUAAAGAAAAACUGCUGUCGAGGAAGUGUACUUAGAGAUACUACAGACUAAUUAACCUUUCAAAUGUAACUGAAUUAAUUAUCCGCCCAUCUGAUUUCCCUACAGUGGAACAAGUCAAUGGAAGACUUUGAAAUUAAACUAACGAUAAGAUAAGCCAACAGAAUUAGAUUGGAUUAUAGUGAACACUGGUUUGACAGGGAAACUGCUCUUUCACAGUCAGUCAAUGGAGAGCCAACGGAGAAUGAAGCUAAAUCAAGACUAGGGUUACAUCUGUGAGAAAAACCUGGAAUUCCCUUCCAAAUGUAGAACACUUGCAUUUCAAUCUACCCUGAAGGACAUUUAAACAGUGCCAAGACCCACAUCUGACUGACUCACACAGCAAUUCAGAUGGUUUAACGUGUCAGUGAAUGGUAGCACUCAGUGUCAGACAGUCAUUCAUUGACUCUCGGGAAGUUGUCGAUUGAAAUGCAAAACACCUUAUCAAAUAUAAAGCGGGUCUAAAUUGAAAGACAUACACAGUAAAAAUUAAACGUGUCACAUCAAUAAUAGUAAAAGAACCCGACAUUAUUCUGGUCGUGAGCAAACCCUGUAACAGACUGUAAUUAAGACCACGUCACAUACAGACUAUUCAUAUAUUGACGAAACCUCUCUGAACCUGGGGUUUGGGAUGUUCACAUCAAUCCCCAAUGCUGGCCUCCUCUGCCAUCUGACGCACGUGUGAAGCGUGGUGUUAUUUUGGUGCACGCACUCCAUCAAUGCCAUUGGUUAUUUCUCUGGUUUGCAGGGUAAGCCAAGGGAAUAGAUGGUCAUACUCUUAGCAUGGGUUAGCAGGGGCACAAAGGCUCCUCUGUUUCUUGAGAUAUACUAACGAAAGGUACCAAAUGAAAAGGGCUCAGUAGCUACUGCCCAUCAAGAGGAGAAUCACUUCAUAAGGUACGGUGCAACUCCAUUAGCGGAUAACGGCAUGCAAUUUGAAAUAUUUUAAUGACGGGUUGUCAUUUAUAACCAGUAUUGUGGGGUGAAUUCCAUUUCAAUUCAAAUAUUUGAAUUUAACUGACUGGAAUUUAAAUUGAAUUGACCCCAAGCUGCAAUGGGUAGAAGUAAUAUAACUGUGGGGUAGAAAUUAUUGUGAGGAUUGAAACAUGGCACAACAGUUGAAAUGCAAAUCAUGUCUGCAUGAACUGCACGGCAAAUAGCGUGCAUUUUCAUCACCAAUGGCAUUGCUUUGUUUGAAGAAAAUUGUGACUUUUACAUAAUAAAUUAAAGCAAUGUUUAUUUGGGAGUUGAAAUUAACAUUUCUCAUUCUGUUUAAAGUGUCAGGCAUGUUGCAAUAUAAUGCUUCUGACAAUGAUUUGACUAAUCAGAGCCCACUAGAAUCUAAAUCUACUGUCAACCUCAUAACACUACUAGAUUGUAUUACCAUUCACUAUAAUUGACUAUGGGAAUAUGAUUUUUGUGAGAGGGAGUUUUAGAUUACAAUAAUAUGUGUGUGUGUAUAUAUAUUUAUAUCAAUGACUGGGGCCCUAACUGUACAGAAUGUUUAUAUAUCAAUGACUGGGGCCCUAACUGUACAGAAUGUUUAUAUAUCAAUGACUGGGGCCCUAACUGUACAGAAUGGUUAUAUAUCAAUGACUGGGGCCCUAACUGUACAGAAUGUUUAUAUAUCAAUUACUGGGGCCCUAAAUGUACAGAAAG
rnacentral:lncRNA from 1 species